rnacentral:rRNA from 1 species
GACGAACGCUGGCGGCGUGCUUAACACAUGCAAGUCGAACGGAAAGGCCUCUUUCGGGGGGUACUCGAGUGGCGAACGGGUGAGUAACACGUGAGUAACCUGCCCUUGACUUUGGGAUAACUUCAGGAAACUGGGGCUAAUACCGGAUAGGAGCUCCUGCUGCAUGGUGGGGGUUGGAAAGUUUCGGCGGUUGGGGAUGGGCUCGCGGCUUAUCAGCUUGUUGGUGGGGGAGUGGCUUACCAAGGCUUUGACGGGUAGCCGGCCUGAGAGGGUGACCGGCCACAUUGGGACUGAGAUACGGCCCCGACUCCUACGGGAGGCAGCAGUGGGGAAUAGUGCACAAUGGGUGGAAGCCUGAUGCAGCAACGCCGUGUGCGGGAUGACGGCCUUCGGGUUGUAAACCGCUUUCGCUCAUGACGAAGCUUUGUGUGACGGUAGUGGGUAAAGAAGCACCGGCUAACUACGUG